UACGUAGUGUGAGAGCGUUGUCCGGAAUUACUGGGCGUAAAGAGCUCGUAGGUGGUGUGUCGCGUUGUUCGUGAAAACUCACAGCUCAACUGUGGGCGUGCGGGCGAUACGGGCAGACUUGAGUACUGCAGGGGAGACUGGAAUUCCUGGUGUAGCGGUGGAAUGCGCAGAUAUCAGGAGGAACACCGGUGGCGAAGGCGGGUCUCUGGGCAGUAACUGACGCUGAGGAGCGAAAGCGUGGGGAGCGAACAGG
rnacentral:rRNA from 1 species